ensembl:miRNA
AGCCUGCGCCGGAGCCGGGGUCUGAGUCCGGGCCGUGCGGGCGAGGAGCUCAUCGAGUUGCGCGUGCGGCCGGUGCUCAACCGGCCUGGCCCCGGCCCCCCACUGCCGCGCGCCCUGGA